rnacentral:rRNA from 1 species
ACCGUAUAACAAUCGAAACCGCAUGGUUUUGAUUUGAAAGGCGCUUUCGGGUGUCGCUGAUGGAUGGACCCGCGGUGCAUUAGCUAGUUGGUGAGGUAACGGCUCACCAAGGCCACGAUGCAUAGCCGACCUGAGAGGGUGAUCGGCCACAUUGGGACUGAGACACGGCCCAAACUCCUACGGGAGGCAGCAGUAGGGAAUCUUCGGCAAUGGACGAAAGUCUGACCGAGCAACGCCGCGUGAGUGAAGAAGGUUUUCGGAUCGUAAAACUCUGUUGUUAGAGAAGAACAAGGAUGAGAGUAACUGUUCAUCCCUUGACGGUAUCUAACCAGAAAGCCACGGCUAACUACGUGCCAGCAGCCGCGGUAAUACGUAGGUGGCAAGCGUUGUCCGGAUUUAUUGGGCGUAAAGCGAGCGCAGGCGGUUUCUUAAGUCUGAUGUGAAAGCCCCCGGCUCAACCGGGGAGGGUCAUUGGAAACUGGGAGACUUGAGUGCAGAAGAGGAGAGUGGAAUUCCAUGUGUAGCGGUGAAAUGCGUAGAUAUAUGGAGGAACACCAGUGGCGAAGGCGGCUCUCUGGUCUGUAACUGACGCUGAGGCUCGAAAGCGUGGGGAGCAAACAGGAUUAGAUACCCUGGUAGUCCACGCCGUAAACGAUGAGUGCUAAGUGUUGGAGGGUUUCCGCCCUUCAGUGCUGCAGCUAACGCAUUAAGCACUCCGCCUGGGGAGUACGACCGCAAGGUUGAAACUCAAAGGAAUUGACGGGGGCCCGCACAAGCGGUGGAGCAUGUGGUUUAAUUCGAAGCAACGCGAAGAACCUUACCAGGUCUUGACAUCCUUUGACCACUCUAGAGAUAGAGCUUCCCCUUCGGGGGCAAAGUGACAGGUGGUGCAUGGUUGUCGUCAGCUCGUGUCGUGAGAUGUUGGGUUAAGUCCCGCAACGAGCGCAACCCUUAUUGUUAGUUGCCAUCAUUCAGUUGGGCACUCUAGCAAGACUGCCGGUGACAAACCGGAGGAAGGUGGGGAUGACGUCAAAUCAUCAUGCCCCUUAUGACCUGGGCUACACACGUGCU